AUCAGACCUUCCGUAGGCACUCUUGCGGAAGGAUCAUUAUGGUCCAAAGCAACGCACCGCCAAGCAGGUGCUCCCCUUUUCCACCUUAAUUUGGCACGAGCGGCAUGUGCACACCGCCCCCUUCAUCAGCACGCACCCGUGCACUCCUGACACAGCAAUAGUUGGUGGAUUUAAUUCCAUCAUCCAUUUGCUGUCUACGUAAUUUACACACACUCUACUUAAUUUAAACUGAAAGUAAUUGAUGUAACGCCCCAAUACUAAAUUUCAACAACGGAUCUCUUGGCUCUCGCAUCAAUGAAGAACGCACCGAAAUGCGAUAAGUAAGGUCAAUUGCACAAAUCAGUGAAUCAUCCAAUCGUUGAACGCACCAUGCGCUCCUUGGUAUUCCUUGGAGCAGGCCGGUUUGAAUAGCAUGAAAUCUUCAAAGUAAACCUUUUGUUAAUUCAAUUGGUCUUUUUUACUUUGGUUUUGGAGGAUCUGAUAGCAGCUUCACACCUGCUCCUCCCCGUGCAUUAGCUGGAUCUCAGUCCACGCUUGGUUCCACUCCGCGUGAUAAGUUAUCGAUCGAUGAAGACACCCGUAAAAAAGGUGGCCAAGGUAAAUGCAGAUGAACCGCUUCUAAUAGUCCAUUGACUUGAACAAUAUUCUAUCUUAUGAUCUGACCUCAAAUCAAGUAGGAAUACCCCCGCAACUUAAGCAUAUCAAUAAGCGGAGGAA
rnacentral:rRNA from 1 species